UUCACACUUUUGGUUAACAGCUGAUGUUUGGAGGGAAACUGUUAAUGCUGUAUUAACUUUUCCACUUCAUUGUUUGGCUGCUUUGUGGGAUUCAUUUUAAGUCUUGUUAAUUAAUUUUCUCUCUGUUUAACCAUUUUGAAUAAUUAUUAAGAUAAUCAAGGCUUUAGGUGCUUUCUGGUCAAUUUAAUUAAUUUUAUCAACACAAUGGAACCAAGUAAAUUAAUUAAUGGAGUAACCUUUCUUUUACUUUCCGUGACCAUCAACAGUGUAUAUAUCUUGAUAACUGGAUAAACAUUUUUUAAUGACCUUUACAACAGUCCAUAUUGCUUGAUAUCAUCAGCAUUUUAGCAAAAUUUUAGUUAAAUUAAAGGAUACAUAUCAACACCACCACAGCAUGGAUUGGGAUGAGACUCAAAAUCUGACUUCAACUCUGAAUUUUACCUUUACCCGGCUCAAGAUGUGCUUUACCAUUCACUCAAUUCAGGCUAAAGCCUAUUCAGUGAAUGGACAAGCAGCAGUUGAUGAAACACCUGAUUUUUGUCUCACAAUGUCAAUCCAUUUUCAGCUGGCUUUCCUUGCCAUCCUCACCAUUGUGACCAUUGAAGCCAAAACACGAGAUUACCUUUGAUGGUUGCUGCUACUUCUCAUGGCAUUUUGUGAAAGACGUUUGUUGGCCUGUUACUUUCGGCUUCCAUCUUUUUGUCUCUCUCUCUCUCUCUCUCUCUCUCUCUCUCUCUCUCUCUCUAGUCUUUCUUGACCAACUGACCUUACCGGUAAACAUGAUGGACAAAAGUGAUAACUUGAGAUAACAACAAGAGCAACAACAAAGUGAUUGACCUUCUCGGCAACCUUAAAGUUAACAUCAAUUUUUUGCGUUCCACCAAUUUUUUUAGACUGAGCAACUUUUCAAGCCUCAACAAAGUGGCCUAUGAUCUUAACGGAUCUUUUAACCUUGAUCUUUGCCCUUCACAAGAUUUAUUAUCAUCAUUCAUUUCUCAUGUUGUUGUUGCUGCUGCUGUUGAAUGGAUCAUUGAAGAUUCAAAAAGUGAUCAUUGUGAUGAUGAAGACAAAAUGUAUUUGCCUUGUAAUAUUAGCUUGUCUGGGUUAUGUUGACUGGAUUAUAAUCAAUGUUACUGCGAUCAACUUAUUUUACCAGCCAAAUGUAAUCUUUGGACAAAUGUUGUUUUAAAAGAUUCAAUUUUAAGACAACUUUUGUCCAAACUGUUGCCCUGAAUGUUUUAACCAUCAAGCUUGCAGUUUCCCUGUUAAUUGGUGAAAAUGUUGAUAAAGGUUGGCCAAUGAUACCAGCUAUUAACUGGAGCAUGAAUUACCAUAAAGUACAAUCAAAAUGAACGGGAAUUGACGGAGAUUGGCCCGGGCAACCAGCCCUAAACAUGAACACCUAAACAGAAGAAGAAAGAAGAAGCUAAAUUCAAUCUUUGGUCUUCUUUGUUUUGCUUUGCUUUAAAUCAUCUUCUUCAUCAUCGCCAUCUUUUCGCUUUUUACUCGCUUCAAGUAAUGUAAAAGUCCCGUUCACUGUAAUCUGAACAUCUCAACGAAAGUCUAAUCAUCUAAACAAUUCCAGUCAAGGGCCCAGCCCCUUAAGGGUCUAAGAAUCUCAUCAUCAUUUUUCUCACUGGGUUUCCACUAAACUGACAACAAGAAACAACCAGUUAGUUGAAUGAGCAAAGCCAAGGAAUGGAAAAGAGAGAAAGCAAAAGAAGAAAAAAUUGGUCUUGACUUGGAAUGACCCUUAAGGGUAGGUUUAAGACUGGGUUAAAUGGAUUGCUGUUGAGUUGAAGGGAAAGUAAGGAAGUCAGUCCAGUCAAAAGCUGUCUCAAUCGGUCAGAGGUCUCUCUCUAUCUUACCAGUAAACGGUGGUUAGAUGGUGAUCCACCAUAGGAUAUGAUCAGGAUGAUAUGGAUGACAAAGGCCUGGAUAUUAUUAGUUUAAACUAUUUGAUUGGAACCAAAGAAAAUAAUAACUUAGACAGAGGCAACCGAAGCAAGUUGAAGAAACGGUAUGGAGCAUUUACCAUGGACCAAGAAUAUGGGUCCAUGGGAACCAGAACUAAAUGAAACUCUUUUUUUUCUUCUGCAAGUUUGACCAAAAAAAGGAUAAAAUCUCAAGAUUGACAUUAUCAACUGGUAAAGAUGAACAAGAAACCAAAUAACCUGCAGUGAAAAGGCGAACCAGAAGAAAUGGAAGGAUUGAAACAAUCUUUUUUUCCCUUGUUCUUGGGCCUACUUGUAACGCCCAUGUAAGAUUUUGGUCUAAAGGAACCAAAGAAAUAUUUCUCUUCAACUUACAUUUUUCUAUUGAGAGGCACAAAAAGGAAAUUUUGGCCAAAGAAGAAAAAAAAGAUGAAGAAAAAUGUAGCUUGAUAAUAUCAACUUACCUGAACAUUUUUUUGUGAUGUGUUACCUCAACUGUGUUAAUAAACGAUGGUAAAAUCGUAUCAACAGCAACAAACCAAUUGGCACCUAACCCAAAAGAUUUCACAGUUUGACUGUGCAUUACUAUUAUUUCAAGUUUUUAACCUCAAAACCAAGAAGAGUCAAUUUUUUCACACCUUUUACACUUUAACAAUUUCUAUUGCCUAUUUAUUUCCAUUCCUUUACUACAAGGUAAACUGGCAAUUAUUGUCAUCACCAGAUCCGAUGUUGACGCUGAUAAAUGUUGCUAAAGUGGACCAAAAUUGUCAAAAUUCAUGUUUGGCAACAACAACAACAAUGUCAAUAACGUAAAUUGAAUGAUAACAUGGACUUUUAGGUGAACCAUUACAUCUUGAAUGGGAAAGCUAAAAAUAUCUUAUACUGUCCUUUGCUGGUUCAAUUUUGAUGUUAAAAUGCAAUCAAAGACUCAGAAUCUGAUUGAAAACAAUGAUAACAAUUGAAUUUUGUUGACUGUUACCCAUUUCCGAAUCACAUAAAUGUAUUAAAACACAAAAGGAACCCAAGACCAAGAAGAAAAAAGUGCCCCAAAAAAUUGACUUUUUCAAGGAAAAAGAAGAGGAGAAGAAAAAGUAAAAUAAAUGACCUCAAGGCUUUUUCCCAUAUUUACUUUGAAUCCUAUUAUUAUCAUUGCUAUUAUAAUGCAAUAUCAUAUCAUCUGAUGACCACAACAAAGUGACAAAGUGCCAAUAACUAAAGGUGGUAACAUGAGGUUAGACACUGAGUGAGCCACAAGAAAAAAGUACUGGACAUUUUUACCCAAAAAUAAAGGCAAAGGAGAAGCAAGAUUUUAACCUGACAAGAAACACUAGAGGAACGAGAUAAAGCAAGUAAAGUGGUCACUUGUGUUAGUUAAGAGAGGUCAUUGGUCCAGGCCUAUUCUCAUCUCUUUCUUUUUGCUCUUACUCAAGUCAAAGGUCCUUAGGGGAAAGGUCAAAAUGAUUGCGGAUACGAAGCCAGCAAAAAAAAACAAGAAUCAAGUUAUACCUUAAGAAAUGAGGAUAACCUUGUUAACCUCACGAACUCUCUUCACCUUUUCUUUGAGAUUUUACCUUAAACUUAAACUGACUCUCUUUCACUUAUCAACCCGUGUGACCUGUCUUAUGGCUUAUCUUCCGUGAAAAGGUCAAAUCUUAAAGAGGAAACCCUGAAAACAAAAUGUAAAGCCAAGGUUAGGUACAAUAACAUCAUAGCACAAGAUAGGUUAAGUUUGUGUAAAUUUUUGCCGUUAACCGCCAAAUUUGGUUCCUAAUGGUUUACUUGAUUUUUUUAGGUAACACAAAAAGGCUCAUAGACUCAAGUUUAAAUGAUUAAACAACAAUCAACAUUCACUGUUUUUUUAUGGGCAAGGUAAGGGGCUCAUUAUUAUCAACCUCAGAAAACUGUUUUUUUUGUAAAGCUUACAUUUUACAUACGUUGGGCUUUUUUGCAUACAGAUUGAGAGAAACCAAAACCUAAUGACAGUUAUGAUGGAUACAAUGUUAUACAGUAAACAUUGUUAACCUCCUAAACAUAUUAUUCAUAUUUUACAUUAUAAUAAUAAUAAUGCAUAAUAUAAUAGUCUAAAGAAAUCAUUUAACUUUUUUUUUACUUUAUCCUAAAUUGUAACAUGUUCAUAACAAAAAUAUUUAUCUUUCCUUUUCAAUACAAUGGUGAAGAUGGUGAUUUUCAAUUGAAUUGAAAACCGUUUUCACACUUUUCUUGCAACUUGACAGCAUCUUUGUCAUUGAUUUUCAUCAAAAUACCCUCUAUCCUUCCUAAUAUUGACCUUUUACUCUGCACUGACCACGAGCCAAUUCAUUUUUCAUUAUUAAUGUCCAAUAAUUUGAUUGACGUUGGAUUGUUUGAAAGACGCGCUUCACAAUCAUUGGCUGACAAUUUAACAGCUUUUUUGUCUUUCUUGAGAUUAAAGCUGGUUGCUAAGUCGCUUUUUAAGCUCGUUUAAAAGUUAAUUAGCCUUUGGAUUUGUUAAUUGUUACAAACUGUGGUUUUAUUUGCUCGUCAUUCAACUCUAUCCUCUAUGGCUUAAAAAAGAUUUGAAUCCCCUUUGAUUGGAAAAAAGGAGCCCAAAAUCUACAGAUAGCCAGGCAAUAUCUUCAUCGUUACCUUUAUAACAUUUGUAUUAUCACAUUGAAAAGGUGAUUCAUGCUUUAAUCUGCCAAAAAUCAAUCACAAUUUUGGAUCCAAGAAACUGAAUUUCAUCUCAUGCUAAUCAUAUUUGCGCUGUUGCAUUAUCUGUUGAUUACUUGAGAUGCAUAUUGAAUCGUGAAAAUGUGUUUGUGUGUCUAAUCAAAAAUAAACAAAUGAUUUGGUUGAUCGUUGAAAGGCUUGAAAAAAGGAGAAAGUUUAUUGUUAACGUGACUUUAUGGAUACAAAAAGCAUCAACAAAAUGAUGAGAAAAUACCUUGGAGAAGAUUAUUUCCACCAUAAUGGUAACCAUGAUGAUGAUUUUGGAUGAUGAUUGAGUGACAAUCUUCUUAACUUAUUUUCCAUUGGAAAAUAGGUAAACAUCACCAAGAAAACAAGGAGUUAUAAGAUGAAAAUAAAAGAGAUGCAAGUUCAUCGUCAAGUUAUCAUCUUUGUAUAUUAAAAUAAUAUACAAAAGUAAACCUUUCUGCUUUACAAAGAUAACAUUGAAUGUUGUAUCCAAAAAAACUGUCCAGAGAUUGAUUGUUGCCGACUCAAAUCCCAUUGUAUGCCAAAUUUUCAUCAACAAAUAACCUAACAAUCUGAUGGACUCUUCAUCUCUUCUCAUCCUCACUCUCUUUCACUAUCUCUUCAUCUCUUUCCUUGUUUCUCUCUCUCUCUCUCUUCCUUUUCCUCGGUCUGUUUGAUUUGACACAUUUUGUUAACCGCAUCUUAUCAUCAUUUUGACCAAAUCAUUUUCAGUCCAAAGGAUGCUCUAUACCUUUUUUUAUCCACAUUUAUGUAUCUACAUUUCACUUUAUUAUCUGGUUUGCUAUGAAAUUUAUGUCAAAUGUAUUUUACUAGAUCAUUAGGCCAGGAUAAAAGGAUCACACCUCAUCCUCAUCAUCAUCACCAUCAUCUCUUUCUAUCUUCAAUUGACUCCUCUUCAGCUAAAUCCUCUUUCCUCCACCUUCAUCAUCAUCUUCUUCAUCUUCUGUCACACAAAGCAUAUUAUUGAUAAAAUGGAUUCUCUUUCAUUAAAUUGCUUUGGAUUUAACCAAAUUGUACAUAUUACAUAUGAAAUGUUGUCUGUCGGUCAACCAAAUAUCAAGUUUAUCAAACAUCUAAUAUUGUAUUCCUUUUUGUUCAGCUUCAUUGUUUCUCUCCUCUUCAAUUCAUCUUCAUCUUCACUCAUCCUCUCAAUUCAUUGAGUACUUUAUCUGUCCUUUCACAGACCAAAAACAGGAGAGAGAGAGAAAAAAAAACUUCAGAUUCAAUUACAAUUCAACCAAAGAGAAUCCAUUUUACAAUUUUAUCACCAUUUAUUAACCAUACUUUUGUUUAAUCCGACAAUCCCAGCAAAUAUCAGAUAAUUAUGGAGGAAUAAUGUUCACCAAACAAUUAACCAAUAUCCAUGAAAAAAACCAGAUUCAAGAAUCAUAACAAAAUAGAGUCAACUUAUAAUACAAUAAAUUUUAAUGACGAUGACAAAAACGAUACAGCUAUAAUGACGGAAUCAAAUUGCUUGUUAAUAAAGGACUGGGAAGAUACAGAUUAACAUUAAACCCAUUUUAAUCCCUGAAACAAAUUGAUAAUAAUGGACAACCAGGAAUACCAACAUAAUAACAAUAAUCAUAACCACAAGGAUGAUAUACAUAAUAAUGAAUCUGAAGGAGUAUCCGAUGAAUGGUCGUUUAAAGAUAAUAAUCAAUUGACUUUCUUUUGUGUUUUUAUAAAAACACAAACAAAAAGCGGUCUUAAAAGGUGUUUCCAAGGGUUUCGUUGUGAUAUUUCCUGUUUCCUAUUUUAUCAACUUUGAACUGAUCAGGAUGACGAUGACGAUGAAAAGGAGAAAGGCAAAAGAAGUGACAAACCAAAGUAUUGUGAUUUACUUGAAAUUCCGUUGGAUUGGAAACAAAUGGAGUCAAGAGAUACAGAAGGCAUGAUCAAUUGAAAGUGACUACAAAACAUUGUUCCCGUUGAACUCUCCUCAUCAUCUAAACAUCUCAUCUUGAUCUUCCUGCUAACCACUUAUCAUUUGCGUAUCCUUCAGAUCCCCUCCUUUUUGACUUGUUUUGUUUUUUAGUUUCAUUCCAAUCGACUAGGAUUGUUAUUAAUGUAAAAAUGAAUAUUGAUUCGAUUGGAAUGAAACUGAAAACUGAACAAAAUGAACCUUUCCCUUGCCUUGGACACCUUUCAUAACCUUCAACUUGUUUGUUGCCAUUACUCAAAUGAAAGGGUUAACCUUUAAUGAACCUCAAUCAUCACUCUUUAAGAUGAAACAUUUUUUUCUCAUUCAGCCUCAUCUCAACCCUCAUUUUUCAACCUCUUUUCAUUCAACUUUUUUUUCUUGUUUGCUUCCUAUUUAUCUCCUCUAAUGCAAUUCACUUGAUGACCAUCUGUGUUCAUCUUCUUAUCCUCUCUGAUUCCUCGUCCUCCCUUUCAUCGUCAUUAUCAUCUUUAUAUCUCUUAAUGUUAUCCACAAAAUUAAAAUAAGGCAUCAAUUUGAUAUACUCUUUUCACCACAAAAGAAGAGCCCAAGCUUUCAUCAUGAUCAUCAUUCUUCUUUUCCCUGAUUAACCAUUGACUUCAUCAUCAUCUCUGGUCGUCUCUUUCCCUAUUUACAUCAUUAGAGCAACAUUAGAAAGCAAAUGAUGUUGACCAGUUUCAUGUGUUAAUGAGAGUCACCAUAAUAAUAACUUCAUUAUUUAUCUUCUCUACUUUUUUUUAUCCAGAAAUGCUUUGUUACAAUUCCAGUUUCCUCUUUUUUUCACCAGUAAGGUUACUACCAAUCUUAUUGUUUCUGGACAAAUAAAGGCAGAGGGAAAUGACGAUGAAGAUGAUGGUGGUUAGGAAGACUGAUUGCUAAAAAAUGAUGAAAACCUCGGAACCUUUGGUUAUUAGCAUGUCAUGUGGAUGGCCAAAAAGGGAUAAAGAUGAGACUGAUAACAUUGACGGUGUAAAGCUCAUGAUUGUAUAAGAGUAACAAUGGUUACUUGGAUGGUCAAGAUAUGUGAAUAAAAAAACAAGGAGAAAAACAAAGUCACAGGAAGAUGAUGGAGAUGGCGAGAGAGGCCAAAAGACAGUCAACCAAUCUAAUGGACAGGUCAUUUGGAUCUAUAGAUUGUUAUUAUUAUUGUUGAUCAUCUAAUUUAGCCUUAUCUGAUGAUAACAAAAUGCUAAUAACAACAGAGUAAAGUUGCAGGCUCAGAUUGGUGUAGGUUAAAGGCAAUAUGAGAAGAUGAUUAUGAUCCAUAUGAGGAGGACAGAGAAGAAAAAAAAAGAGGAGAAGAUGAGGAAGAAAGAGGUUGAUAAAGGCCAAAGAAAAGGGCAAAGUAUAAAAAAAGAUGGCGAGGAUAAAAAAAUAUGAGAAACCACAAUUUUUUUAUCAUUUGAUUUUGAUCUAUUCUGGUCCGUUAAGCCUAGAAUUGAUAAAAGUCAGUGUGCAGAGAGAGAGAAGAGAGGAUGAAGAUGAGGUUGAGAAAGAUGAUUGAAGAAGAAAGUAAACCAAUGUCCGAUUAUAUUAAAGAUCAUUCAUCCAUUUUGUCACUUCUUUUUUCAAUUUCCCGUUGAACUGAGUAUUAAAAAGCCACAAGAAGAAAAAAGAUGAAGGAGAAGAUGAUUAUGAUGAAAAGGAGGGAAAGAUGAUUAGAGAUGCUGUGAAUGAUGCUGUAAUGAUGAUAUCUAAAGAUGCCAAUGAAAGGAAGAGUAAAAAUAUGAAAGAUAAAGAUAAAAAAUGAGAUUCUGUUGCAAGGAUUUGUCUUAAAUCUCUUAAACUUAUUUCAUUUAAUACUGAUUAACCAUUGAAAUGUGAUGUUCAGAUGUUGUUGAUAUUGAGGCUUGAAAAAUAUAUAAAAAAAAGGUAAAAUUGAAUCAUUGAUUGAUUUGUUUCAAGUCAAAAUGCUAUUUGUCUUGAUACAAACAAAUGUACACUUAAUCACUUUAAGGUUAAACUUGAUCUUACUAAUACACUUUGAUCCAUUUCUUUUCUUCCUUUUCAUCCUUAUAUACCUGAAUGGAUACGUUUACAGCAUUUUAAGUUGAAAAUGAUGAUGAUGAUGAUGGUAAAGCCCAAUAAUAUUGAUCUGGACUCAUCAAUUAAAUUGACUGGAAAAGAGAUUGAAGUUAAUUUUUAUCGACGAUUGAUGACCAUACAAAAGGACUCACAAAUCGGAAGCUAGAGAUGAUGAUGAUGACUAUAAAGAUUUAAAAGAUGCUGAGAUGCUGAUGGUUUUCAAUGAGAGGCAAGCGAAAAAAAAGAGUAAACAGUUGACAAGAUUAUUUCCUGUUUUUCAGCGCAAAUGUUUCCAAAUAAAAAUCCAUUGAUACGGAUCAUGAAGUUUAGAUUAAAGUUAACAGCAAUUUGUUUCAAUCAUAACCAACUAUGGAUACUGAGGAUGAUCACCAACAUGAUCACCAACAUGAUCACCAACAUGAUCAACAUCAUAAUCAUCAUUAUUAUUAUCAUCAUUUUAAGGAGUUGAAAAUUUUUCAAGAAACAUGUUUCAAUGGUUUCAAGCUGUGCUUGGAUAAGCAAACAUGGAAUUCAUUUUUUUAAUUUCAUCUUUUCUCUUUGUUUUUUAGAUUCAUCGAUAGAUUGGUUGCAAAGUUGAGGAAGGAUUAUCAAAAGGUGGAAAAUUAUCUGUUAAUAACUGUCCUUGGUGAAGUUGAUUAUAAUCAAUGUUAAUAUUCAUGUUCAAGUUAAGGAUCUGAUUAUUGUCAAACGUUGUGGUUAUGAUGGUAAUGGUGAUUAGACAAAGGAAAAGGAUGAUGUUAAUGAUCAAGAAAGAUGCUCAAAAGUCUGAGAGUUCAACCUUUUCCAUGUUAUGACCAUUGUUGACCAGAAUCAAUUCAAUUCAAUGAGAAGGCAAAAAAAAGUGAAAUGAAAAAAAGCAAGUUCAUUUGGUAGCUAAUCAUUUCAAAUGGUCAUUUGCAACCUCUUUGAGUUAGUCAAUAGUUAACAUUACAAGGGUGAAUAGAUAAAUCUUUAUGACAUUUUCACUCUAUUUCAAUUUGUAUAAUUCAGUAAUGAGUUCAGGUAAUAGUCAAACAAUAAACGGUCAACAUUAACAUUAAGCAAAUGGUGCAACUUGAAAAUGGAUGGUUAACCAAGAAUCACUGAUUUCAAUGUUUUCAGCCUUCAAUUUUAAACCAAUUUAAUUGAAUAAUCGAUAUAUUUGGAAUGAUUAAGAACAGUUUUAGUUUUUGAAUGGAAAUUUCACAAAUCGAAAUCCGAGGUUAAAACAUGAAUUUCAAUAAAUAGCAAUUGAAGUUGCA